rnacentral:tRNA from 1 species
GCCGAGGUGGCGAAAUGGUAUACGCAAGAGACUUAAAAUCUCUCGACUAACAAGUCAUGCGGGUUCGAGCCCCGCCCUCGGCA